CCUACGGGUGGCUGCAGUGGGGAAUAUUGGACAAUGGGCGAAAGCCUGAUCCAGCCAUGCCGCGUGUGUGAAGAAGGCCUUCGGGUUGUAAAGCACUUUCAGUGGGGAAGAAAGCCUUGGGGCUAAUACCCUCGAGGAAGGACAUCACCCACAGAAGAAGCACCGGCUAACUCCGUGCCAGCAGCCGCGGUAAUACGGAGGGUGCGAGCGUUAAUCGGAAUUACUGGGCGUAAAGCGCGCGUAGGCGGUCUGAUAAGCCGGUUGUGAAAGCCCCGGGCUCAACCUGGGAACGGCAUCCGGAACUGUCAGGCUAGAGUGCAGGAGAGGAAGGUAGAAUUCCCGGUGUAGCGGUGAAAUGCGUAGAGAUCGGGAGGAAUACCAGUGGCGAAGGCGGUCUUCUGGACUGACACUGACGCUGAGGUGCGAAAGCGUGGGUAGCAAACAGGAUUAGCUACCCGAGUAGUC
rnacentral:rRNA from 1 species